CCUCCCACAGGCCCCGGGUGCUGCUUCCACUGCCCCUGCCCCUGCCCCCAGGACUGACCUGCGCCCCCAUGGCCAUGGCCAUAUACCUGACCCAUCGGAGGGCGGGGGCUGGACCGGGACACUGCAGGAACAUGGCCUGUCGGGAUGUAACCCCAGUGGUCACAAUCUUGAAGGAAUAAUUGGAGGGUGUUUGUGGCACAGCCAGACCCCUCACCGAGGGCCCCUCACUUGAGGGCCAGUCCUGGCACAGAAGCACUGGGGAUUUUGAAGAGAACGAGCCCACAGACUGGCGCCGCGAGAGAGCAGGGAAAACCGGAAGUUGGAAUGGAGCCGCCGGACGGGAAACGCGAGCACACCGGCCUUGGUCAGGCGGCACCAGGAUGACCCUCCCCAUUCCGCGGGGCUACCGUCGGGGACGCGGACGGGAGCGCGCCGGUGAGGGCGGCUGGGCGGUGCCGUGGGUGGGGCGGGUCCAUAGAGGCGUCAGCCAAUCACCGGCA
rnacentral:lncRNA from 1 species